rnacentral:rRNA from 1 species
UGCUGGGUGUUGGGGAUCUACGGAGACGUAGGCCCUGAAAAACAGUGGCGGGCUCGCACAUACCCGGACGUAGUAAUGCUGUCGUCUAGGGGCUGUCGCGGGUGCUGGCCGUGAAACUGACGCAAGUCACUUUUCAGAAGGUUGACCUCGGAUCAGGCGGGAAUACCCGCUGAACUUAAGCAUAUCAAUAAGCGGAGGAAAAGAAACUAACAAGGAUUCCCCUAGUAACGGCGAGUGAAGCGGGAACAGCCCAAAUUUGAAAGCUGGCCGCAAGGUCCGCAUUGUAAUUUGGAGAGGAUGCUUCUGGUGAGGUCCUGACUGAGUCCCCUGGAACGGGGCGCCGCAGAGGGUGAGAGCCCCGUAGAGUCAGACGCCGAUCCUGUGUGAAGCUCCCUCGACGAGUCGAGUAGUUUGGGAAUGCUGCUCUAAAUGGGAGGUAAAUUCCUUCUAAGGCUAAAUACCGGCCAGAGACCGAUAGCGCACAAGUAGAGUGAUCGAAAGAUGAAAAGCACUUUGAAAAGAGGGUUAAAUAGCACGUGAAAUUGCUGAAAGGGAAGCGCACGUCGCCAGACUCGGCUUCGGUGGUAACCCGGCGUUCUCGCCGGUGGUUCCUCCGAGGUCGGGCCAGCACCGGUGGUUUGGGGGCAGGAAGCGCAGGAACGUAGCUCCCUCGGGAGUGUUAUAGCCUGCGUGGAGCGUCCCUGAGUCACCGAGGCCCGCGGU